ACAUGCCCCAGAGAUGAACAGGGGAAACUCACAGGUGUCUUGCUGCCCUGUACUGCAGGUACACAGCCCCUUUCUGUCAUUUGCUAUCUUUCAGAAGGCUUACCUGCUCUUGUUUCUUAGCCACACCAGCAGAUAUUUUAUGAUAAAAGAACUCAUUUGAGCUUUCUGGAGAAAGACAAACUUCUAUGCACCAGGAACCCUCAAGUAAAGGAUGCAGAAUAGAGAUAAUCCAUUUCCAGUGAUUUUAUGAGAAACAUCCCUGUUCUCACAUCCCCCUCUGCCUUUACCCUUGGAUUUUCAUUUGUAAUUGUGCAAACCGGAGGUGAAAAGCUCUCACACACUGCAGGAGAGAUUUCUAUUCCUUCCCAGCAGAAGUGGCAGCAGGGGUGCUGAGCAAAGGAACUGGCAGCUCAGGUGGCCAUGAACAGGUCGGCUGAGCCCUGACAUCCAGGACCUCGGCCAAGGAAAGUCAUCUGAAUUCAGCAGUAACAAGGGCAAACCUUGUCUGCUUUUGCUGACACAGAGUGUGACCAAGACCAGCAGUGAGCUUAAGAAAAAUCCCCAUGAAAGCUGCAUAGAUUCAAGCAGAAAAUGAAGAGCAUUUUUCAUCUAGCAUGCAUUCAGCUCCUUCAGGAGCAUAACACCACACUGAUGUGUUGUCAAGAGCGUGGCAGCUUCUCUGCAGAGAUACUUGAGUAAGCUGAAUCAGUAAAUUUUUUUUAAGUUACAGCACUGUAUCAAAGUCAAGAAACAAGGCUUCAUCCUCAUCUGACUCUCCACAAGUAAUGGCUGCUGGGAUACUUUGGGAAGGCAGAACCUGAGCCAGGGUUUGGAAGAGCACAAACAAAAUCAGUAGCACAUCAAUGAUGUCUAAUUUUCAGAAAGAGCUGAGAACACCCUAAGAAAGUAAAGCCCCUCCAUGGAGCUGGCAAGAACAAUUGAUGGCAGUAACUUCUGGAGUUUUUCAGUCUGGAAGUUUGCAUACUGACAAGUGUAUUCUCAGUAUUUGAGUUUAAUCUUUGAGACCUGUGAGAUUUUCAUAUAUUAUAUGAACUCACUUCAGUUUACUCAGUCUACAUUUGCUUUCUGAUCAACUCAUUGAGACUCUCUGCUUCAAAACAAAAUACAGGACAGUGACAGUCCUCCAUAUCCUCAGCAGGUUAUCCUGCUGAGAGGUAGAAAAUCAGACUGCACAGUUGCACCAGCACUUGUAUCUAUUUCUGGUGAUUUAUUUAUAGCCAAAAAGGCAGGAAAACUGUACUCUUAGCUCCAUUCAAAAAUACCAAUUGGCUAUAAAUGUUCCCAGCUUUCUAUCAAGGGAUUUUCUUUUCCCCUCUCCUCCCAACUGCUUGCAGUUAGUGCUAUCUUGUACUGUCUCUCUCUAGAUGUACCCAUUGGAAGUGUAUGUUGUCAACAAAGAAGAAAGCAAACACUCUGAUGAGCUGUUCUCCACCCCUUUCAUCUAUUAGGAGAGAAAUGUUGUUUAUAGUCAGGUAAAUUAUUACAUUCAGUGUUAUUAUUACAUUCAGUGCUUUGGGCUAGCAAUGAUAAGUUACUACCAAAAUUGUUGUUGCAGAUAAACCUUUAGGGCUCUUCCACUUACCCUACAGACAGAAAUCCUAGAGCAGCUCCCUACUGAGCAGGCUUUCCAAAGAGUUCUUCAAAUGUAAAUGCCUUCAUUUUGGUGAAAUCCUUUUCUUGCUGGACAGCAAAGUUUUGAAUUUGCCUCAGUUUGUUUUCUGGGUUUAGUUGUUUUAUGCCUCUGAACUGACGCCUUGCAACACCCAGUGCCAUUUUUGACAUUAGACUCGCCUGACACCUUGCAAAACACAAACUCUUUUCUUCUGAAAAUUGUUCAUGUUAUUCCUCUUCAGCCAAAAAAUAAAGUAAUUAAUCCCACAAAUCUGUAUUUUUUUUAUCUGCAUGAGACACAGAGUUAAUCUUGUCAUGUUUCAGCAUCUGGAUAUGAAUAACUUGCCUGCCUCAGAGGUUUCUUGAGGUAGAGCAAAUCAUACAUAUUACCAACAUUAAAAUCCAUAUAAAUUAUAUUGUCUCCAGCCCAUUCAGGAAGCUUGUUAUCAUAACUAAACCAUUCAGACACAGUCAUUUCUUGCCUUCUGCUCCAUCUUUGUAAGUGAUCUCUGGUUUUGGAGAAGAAGAAAAGCUAAGAAUUUAAAUCAAUUUUAAGUGUCUAUACAUUGAUUUGGCACAGGUUCAGUAGCAUUUUCCUUAAGACUGACCCAGAAAUAUGUGAUUAUAUAGAGAAUAAUUUAUUGCUAAUAAUCAAAUGUUUUUAUUACACUCACCUCAAGCAGGUAUUGGGCAUAUGUGUAGUGGCUCCUGGCACCCUUCACUGUGCCAGGGUGCCACACCAUUCUGUGGCCAGGUCCAGACUCAGCAAUCUUAUUUUAGCUAGACCAGAAAAUGCUUUUUCUCCUUCCUCCAUUUGCUGUUUCAGCCCAGGCAGUAGCUCAGCUCACAGGGCAGACAGCCCCUCCAGACAGACUCCACAGCCAUGGCUACUGACCUCCCACUCCAGCCUCCCUUGUCUUAACUCCCCUGUCAUCUUUUUUCAUCUCCUUUUUUUUUUAAAUCUUUUUUUUCAUGUAUCAGCUAAAUAUCAGCUUUUUAACACCUACCUGUGUUUUCUGAAAGAACUAUCAUGCCUUUUGGCUAUGUGUUGUCUAUGGAAACUGAGUUUUACAGAUCCCUGUUUGGUUACAAAAGAUAUCCACAAAAUGCACCAUCUCAAUACAUUUUAAUUAAAAAUCAGUUUUCUGAGUUUCCUUGCACAAACAGCUCCUGCAUGGUCCUGGCUUUCUGCCAUAGGUAACCAUUAAUUUGAGUUUUUCUCUCUACAGUGGACACACUUGCUCACAGAAAUCAAAUACUCAGUCAUGUUUUCUCCUUAGCCACUGCUUUGGGCAAUUGCUGCAAUUGCUUAAAUCAUUUUGCUCAAGAAGGGGGCUUUGAUGACAAACAUUGGGCAAGAACACAGAGGAUGAGAUUAUAUAAAACCUUGGGUUCUUGUGGAUAUGCAACAGCAUCAAGCAGAAUUUCAAAUAGAAAAUGGUUAGAUGGGAACCUUGUUCCUCCAUGUAGAAAGCUCAAGCACUUUGGUGGGACACAGAGGUCCAGUGGAAGGUCCUUCUAUCCUGCUAGGCUCGACAAAAUUAUUAAAGAAAGGUUUCUGAUGUGAUUUUGACAGUUGUGAAUAGGAAAUUAACUUCUGUGAAUAUGCUGCAUCACUUAA